GCCGAGGUGGCGGAAUGGCAGACGCACGCGGCUUAAGACCGCGGGCCGCAAGGCGUGAGAGUUCGAAUCUCUCCCUCGGCACCA
rnacentral:tRNA from 1 species